rnacentral:rRNA from 1 species
GUAGGUGGCAAGCGUUGUCCGGGAAUUAUUGGGGCGUAAAGCGCGCGCAGGCGGUUCUUUAAGUCUGAUGUGAAAGCCCACGGGCUCAACCGUGGAGGGUCAUUGGAAACUGGAGAACUUGAGUACAGAAGAGGAAAGCGGAAUUCCACGUGUAGCGGUGGAAUGCGUAGAGAUGUGGAGGAACACCAGUGGCGAAGGCGGCUUUCUGGUCUGUAACUGACGCUGAGGCGCGAAAGCGUGGGGAGCAAACAGGAUUAGAUACCCUGGUAGUCCACGCCGUAAACGAUGAGUGCUAAGUGUUAGGGGGUUUCCGCCCCUUAGUGCUGCAGCUAACGCAUUAAGCACUCCGCCUGGGGAGUACGGCCGCAAAGGCUG